GCCGGGCAUGGUGGCUCACGCCUGUAAUCCCAGCACUUAGGGAGGCCAAGGCGGGUGGAUCACGAGGUCAAGAGAUCGAGACCAUCCUGGCCAACGUGGUGAAACCCCGUCUCUAAUAAAAAUACAAAAAUUAGACUGGCCUUGUGGCGCACGCCUGUAGUCCCAGCUACUCUGGAGGCUGAGGCAAGAGAAUCUCUUGAACCCAGGAGGCGGAGGUUGCAGUGAGC
rnacentral:lncRNA from 1 species